UUUAGCAAAUUAGAUUAGCAAUUAAAAAGUAGUACUUACCCAUGCAUGCGAAUCAGAGUUAAACGUUACAAUAAUGCAGCACCGUCAACAUCAUCUUUUCCCGACCGGCCCGGCCCUCUAUUGACAAGUACUGCAGCAUGUGCCCUAGCUUCUCGCCCAACCCUACGUCCGUAGCAGAGAGAGCAGAUCCAUAGAAAUACAUGGAGAGAGCCAAGUCUCUGGCAAAGAGAAUGCCAAAU
rnacentral:lncRNA from 1 species